rnacentral:rRNA from 1 species
AGCGUAGGCGGUCUUUUAAGUUAGAUGUGAAAUACCCGGGCUCAACUUGGGAGGUGCAUCUAAAAACUGGGGGACUUGAGUGCAGGAGAGGAAAGUGGAAUUCCUAGUGUAGCGGUGAAAUGCGUAGAUAUUAGGAGGAACACCAGUGGCGAAGGCGACUUUCUGGACUGUAACUGACGCUGAGGCUCGAAAGCGUGGGGAGCAAACAGGAUUAGAUACCCUGGUAGUCCACGCUGUAAACGAUGAAUACUAGGUGUAGGGGGUAUCAACUCCCCCUGUGCCGCAGCUAACGCAAUAAGUAUUCCGCCUGGGGAGUACAGCCGCAAGGUUGAA